rnacentral:rRNA from 1 species
UACGGAGGGGGCAAGCGUUAUUCGGAAUUAUUGGGCGUAAAGGGCGCGUAGGCGGCUAGAUGUGUCAAAGGUGAAAUCCCUCGGCUCAACUGAGGAACUGCCUUUGAAACUGUCUGGCUUGAGGCCGGGAGAGGGUAGCGGGAUUCCCAGUGUAGCGGUGAAAUGCGUAGAUAUUGGGAGGAACACCAAUGGCGAAGGCAGCUCACUGGGACGGUAUUGACGCUGAGACGCGAAAGCGUGGGGAGCAAACAGG